rfam:Sugiyamaella lignohabitans strain CBS 10342 mitochondrion genome.
GACCUUAUAGUCAAAUGGUUAUGACAUUAGUUCUUCAUACUAAUAGUACUGGUUCGAAUCCAGUUAAGGUUG